GUGGGGAAUAUUGCACAAUGGGGGAAACCCUGAUGCAGCCAUGCCGCGUGUGUGAAGAAGGCCUUCGGGUUGUAAAGCACUUUCAGCGAGGAGGAAAGGUCAGUAGCUAAUAUCUGCUGACUGUGACGUUACUCGCAGAAGAAGCACCGGCUAACUCCGUGCCAGCAGCCGCGGUAAUACGGAGGGUGCAAGCGUUAAUCGGAAUUACUGGGCGUAAAGCGCACGCAGGCGGUUGGAUAAGUUAGAUGUGAAAGCCCCGGGCUCAACCUGGGAAUUGCAUUUAAAACGGUCCAGCUAGAGUCUUGUAGAGGGGGGUAGAAUUCCAGGUGUAGCGGUGAAAUGCGUAGAGAUCUGGAGGAAUACCGGUGGCGAAGGUGGCCCCCUGGACAAAGACUGACGCUCAGGUGCGAAAGCGUGGGGAGCAAACAGGAUUAGAAACCCUUGUAGUCC
rnacentral:rRNA from 1 species